rnacentral:tRNA from 4 species
AUUUAUUUAGUAUAUAAGUACAUUUGACUUCCAAUCAAAAAGAUUGAUUAAUUCAAAAUAAAUA